rnacentral:piRNA from 1 species
UGCAGUUUGCCGAGUCACGUGUGAAGAUGC